UUGUUCCCACUGCUUUUACCUGUUUAGGAAAGUUUUAAUUUGCUAGCCAAUUGAGUUUCGUUUUAGAUUGUAAAGGCUAGCUCCAGCCAACAGAGAUCAAACACGGCGGUAAAGACAACCCCAAACAUAGUGUUCCCCCGCUCUGGAGGAUGCAGCCCUCAACGUGCCAUGUUGGAGGCAGAGAAACUGGACCCUGACCUACUGGUGCUUGACCUUGGACUUCCCAGCCUCCAGAACUGCAAGAAAUAAAUUUCUGUUCUUUAUAAAUGAUCCAAUCUGUGGUAUUCUGCUAUAGCAGCACAAAACAGACUAAGACAGGCAUCAAGAUUAUUCUUGCUGCAUAGAUGAGUUGGGAAAUAGUCUAUCUUCUAUUUUCUGGAUGCUAUUUUUGUAAUAUUAGCAUAAUCUGCUGUUUUAAUGUUCAGUAGAACUUGCCCAGAAAACCGUAUGUGACUGGGGAGGCAACAUUUCAGCUUCAAUUUAUUUAAUAAAGGAAAAUUCAGCUGUCA
rnacentral:lncRNA from 13 species